UACGUAGGGGGCAAGCGUUGUCCGGAUUUAUUGGGCGUAAAGAGCGUGUAGGCGGCCAGGUAGGUCUGCUGUGAAAACUCGAGGCUUAACCUCGAGCUGUCGGCGGAAACCAUCUGGCUAGAGUCCGGAAGAGGAGAAUGGAAUUCCCGGUGUAGCGGUGAAAUGCGCAGAUAUCGGGAAGAACACCCGUGGCGAAGGCGGUUCCCUGGGACGGUACUGACGCUGAGACGCGAAAGCGUGGGGAGCGAACAGG
rnacentral:rRNA from 1 species